rnacentral:rRNA from 1 species
CCUACGGGAGGCAGCAGUGAGGAAUAUUGGACAAUGGGCGCAAGCCUGAUCCAGCCAUGCCGCGUGCAGGAAGAAGCAUCUAUGGUGUGUAAAACUGCUUUUGUACAGGAAGAAACACUCCCUCGUGAGGGAGCUUGACGGUACUGUAAGAAUAAGGACCGGCUAACUCCGUGCCAGCAGCCGCGGUAAUACGGAGGGUCCGAGCGUUAUCCGGAAUCAUUGGGUUUAAAGGGUCCGUAGGCGGUUUAAUAAGUCAGUGGUGAAAUCUGGUCGCUCAACGAUCAAACGGCCAUUGAUACUGUUAGACUUGAAUUAUAAGGAAGUAACUAGAAUAUGUAGUGUAGCGGUGAAAUGCUUAGAUAUUACAUGGAAUACCAAUUGCGAAGGCAGGUUACUACUUAUGGAUUGACGCUGAUGGACGAAAGCGUGGGGAGCGAACAGGAUUAGAUACCCUGGUAGUCCACGCCGUAAACGAUGGAUACUAGCUGUUCGGAGCAAUCUGNGUGNUAGCGAAGUAGAGUAAGUAGUCCGACCGUCGGGAGGUAACGGUUCGUCGAGAAGUAGAACGUUACGAAGAAGUUAGACGGCGNGAGAGNGCGACGGACGACGACGAGGGAGGAGG